rnacentral:rRNA from 1 species
UCAGGACUAACGCUGGCGGCGUGCCUAAUACAUGCAAGUCGAGCGGACUUUAAAAAGCUUGCUUUUAAAGUUAGCGGCGGACGGGUGAGUAACACGUGGGCAACCUGCCUGUAAGACUGGGAUAACUUCGGGAAACCGGAGCUAAUACCGGAUAAUCCUUUUCUACACAUGUAGAAAAGCUGAAAGACGGUUUACGCUGUCACUUACAGAUGGGCCCGCGGCGCAUUAGCUAGUUGGUGAGGUAACGGCUCACCAAGGCAACGAUGCGUAGCCGACCUGAGAGGGUGAUCGGCCACACUGGGACUGAGACACGGCCCAGACUCAUACGGGAGGCAGCAGUAGGGAAUCUUCCGCAAUGGACGAAAGUCUGACGGAGCAACGCCGCGUGAGUGAUGAAGGUUUUCGGAUCGUAAAACUCUGUUGUUAGGGAAGAACAAGUACAAGAGGAACUGCUUGUACCUUGACGGUACCUAACCAGAAAGCCACGGCUAACUACGUGCCAGCAGCCGCGGUAAUACGUAGGUGGCAAGCGUUGUCCGGAAUUAUUGGGCGUAAAGCGCGCGCAGGCGGUCCUUUAAGUCUGAUGUGAAAGCCCACGGCUCAACCGUGGAGGGUCAUUGGAAACUGGGGGACUUGAGUGCAGAAGAGAAGAGUGGAAUUCCACGUGUAGCGGUGAAAUGCGUAGAGAUGUGGAGGAACACCAGUGGCGAAGGCGACUCUUUGGUCUGUAACUGACGCUGAGGCGCGAAAGCGUGGGGAGCAAACAGGAUUAGAUACCCUGGUAGUCCACGCCGUAAACGAUGAGUGCUAAGUG